rfam:Ricinus communis cultivar Hale ctg_1100012323803, whole genome shotgun sequence.
CAGCAGGAGUCAGUCCUGCAGGGGUAGAAGUCAGAGGCCCCGUAGCUUGGAUAGCAGGGUGGCGGGAAACCAAGACCUUGAAGCCUAUCGACAGGCAUUUCCUUGGGGAAUGCGCGAGUCAUCGGGCCGUAACAAAA